UCCCCAGAUCUCUCCCCUAUGUGUGAUGCA
rnacentral:piRNA from 1 species